AACGAACGCUGGCGGCGUGCCUAACACAUGCAAGUCGAACGAGAAGUACGUAGCAAUACGUAUUGUAAAGUGGCGCACGGGUGAGUAACACGUGGGUAAUCUGCCCUCGAGUUUGGGAUAACCCCGCGAAAGCGGGGCUAAUACCGAAUAAGACCACGGGGACCAAAGUCCCUGAGGUAAAAGGUGGCCUCUAUUUAUAAGCUACCACUUGAGGAUGAGCCCGCGGCCCAUUAGCUAGUUGGCAGGGUAACGGCCUACCAAGGCGAUGAUGGGUAGCUGGUCUGAGAGGACGAUCAGCCACACUGGAACUGAGACACGGUCCAGACUCCUACGGGAGGCAGCAGUGGGGAAUAUUGCGCAAUGGGCGAAAGCCUGACGCAGCAACGCCGCGUGGGGGAUGAAGGUUUUCGGAUUGUAAACCCCUUUCGACCGGAACGAAUCUCCUCUUGGUAAAUAAUCAGGAGGAUCGACGGUACCGGGAGAAGAAGCCACGGCUAACUCUGUGCCAGCCGCCGCGGUAAGAC
rnacentral:rRNA from 1 species